rnacentral:rRNA from 1 species
UGCCAUCAGCCGCGGUAAUACGUAGGUGGCGAGCGUUAAUCGGAUUUAUUGGGCGUAAAGGGUCCGUAGGAUGUCUGUCAAGUCGGGUGUGAAAUCCUGCGGCUCAACCCCGGAAGUGCAUUGGAAACUGGCGAACUUGAGUACGGGAGAGGAAAGUGGAAUUCCGAGUGUAGGGGUGAAAUCCGUAGAUAUUCGGAGGAACACCAGUGGCGAAGGCGGCUUUCUGGACCGAUACUGACGCUGAGACGCGAAAGCGUGGGGAGCAAACAGGAUUAGAUA